CCCCGGAUAGCUCAGUUGGUAGAGCGCUCCACCUGUAAUGGAGAGGUCCCGGGU
rnacentral:tRNA from 1 species